rnacentral:rRNA from 1 species
GCAAGUCGAACGGUAGCACAGAGAGCUUGCUCUCGGGUGACGAGUGGCGGACGGGUGAGUAAUGUCUGGGAAACUGCCUGAUGGAGGGGGAUAACUACUGGAAACGGUAGCUAAUACCGCAUAACGUCUUCGGACCAAAGUGGGGGACCUUCGGGCCUCAUGCCAUCAGAUGUGCCCAGAUGGGAUUAGCUAGUAGGCGGGGUAAUGGCCCACCUAGGCGACGAUCCCUAGCUGGUCUGAGAGGAUGACCAGCCACACUGGAACUGAGACACGGUCCAGACUCCUACGGGAGGCAGCAGUGGGGAAUAUUGCACAAUGGGCGCAAGCCUGAUGCAGCCAUGCCGCGUGUAUGAAGAAGGCCUUCGGGUUGUAAAGUACUUUCAGCGGGGAGGAAGGUGUUGCGGUUAAUAACCGCAGCAAUUGACGUUACCCGCAGAAGAAGCACCGGCUAACUCCGUGCCAGCAGCCGCGGUAAUACGGAGGGUGCAAGCGUUAAUCGGAAUUACUGGGCGUAAAGCGCACGCAGGCGGUCUGUCAAGUCGGAUGUGAAAUCCCCGGGCUCAACCUGGGAACUGCAUUCGAAACUGGCAGGCUAGAGUCUCGUAGAGGGAGGUAGAAUUCCAGGUGUAGCGGUGAAAUGCGUAGAGAUCUGGAGGAAUACCGGUGGCGAAGGCGGCCUCCUGGACGAAGACUGACGCUCAGGUGCGAAAGCGUGGGGAGC